UGCUUAACACAUGCAAGUCGAACGAGGUCUUCGGAACCUAGUGGCGGACGGGUGAGUAACACGUGAGAAUCUGGCUUCAGGACGGGGACAACAAGGGGAAACCCUUGCUAAUACCGGAUAGGCGUGUGAAAGAUAGAGGCUCGCGAGCUGGACUAGGCUAGCUGAGGGUACGGUCCAUCAUGCACGAUUCAGUAGCUGUCUGAGAGGAUGAUCAGGCAACAUGGACUGAGACACGACCAGAAUUCCUACGGGAGGCAGCAGUGGGAAUUUUCGCAAUGGGCGCAAGCCUGACCGAGGCAUACCGCGUGCGGGAGGAAAGGCCCUGGGUCGUAAACCGCUUUUGUUAGGGAAGAAAAUUUGACGGUACCUAACGAAUAAGCCUCGGCUAACUUCCGUGCCAGCAGCCGCGGUAAGACGGAGGACGGCAAGCGUUAUCCGGGAAUUAUAGGGCGUAAAGCGUCCGCAGGUGGCAUCUCAAGUCUGCUGUCAAAGCCCAGGGCUCAACUCUGGAUCGGCAGUGGAAACUGAGACGCUAGAGUACGGUAGGGGCAGAGGGAAUUCCCAGUGUAGCGGUGAAAUGCGUAGAUAUUGGGAAGAACACCAGUAGCGAAAGCGCUCUGCUGGGCCGUAACUGACACUCAUGGACGAAAGCUAGGGGAGCGAAAGGGAUUAGAUACCCCUGUAGUCCUAGCCGUAAACGAUGGACACUAGGUGUUGCGCGUAUCGACCCGUGCAGUGCCGUAGCCAACGCGUUAAGUGUCCCGCCUGGGGAGUACGCUCGCAAGAGUGAAACUCAAAGGAAUUGACGG
rnacentral:rRNA from 1 species